GUCUACGGCCAUGCCACUCUGAACAAGCCCAAUCUCAUCUGAUCUCAGAAGCUAAGCAGGGUUGGGCUUCGUUAGUACUUGGAUGGGAGACCACCUAGGAAGACCAGGUGCUGUAGGCA
rnacentral:rRNA from 1 species